rnacentral:rRNA from 1 species
UACAGAGGGUGCAAGCGUUUGUUCGGAAUUAUUGGGCGUAAAGAGCUCGUAGGCGGUUGGGUAAGUCGGGUGUGAAAGCCCUGGGCUCAACCUGGGAAUUGCAUUGGAUACUGGCAGGCUAGAGUGCGGUAGAGGAUGGCGGAAUUCCCGGUGUAGCAGUGAAAUGCGUAGAGAUCGGGAGGAACAUCUGUGGCGAAGGCGGCCAUCUGGACCAGCACUGACACUGAGGCACGAAAGCGUGGGGAGCAAACAGG